CUGGAGUCUGAUAAUUUGGAGAUUGUGAAUCUCUGGAACUCGCGUCACACCUCUCGUGCGGUGGUGGCGCCUAUCUUUUCUAAAAUUGGGGAGCAUGUUCCUUUGUUUAAGUCUUUUGUAGUUCAGCAUGUCGGUAGGGCAGCCAACGUCCCUGCUCAUCUCUGUGCGAAGCAAGCAAGCACUUUAGAUGUUACAGAGUGUUGGCUUGAUACCACACCAAGUUUUCCUGUAACUAGCCUCUGAGCAGAUUUUGCUGGAGGAGUUGAUGUUGAAUAA
rnacentral:rRNA from 1 species